rnacentral:rRNA from 3 species
AAAUUGAAGAGUUUGAUCAUGGCUCAGAUUGAACGCUGGCGGCAGGCCUAACACAUGCAAGUCGGACGGUAACAGGAAGCAGCUUGCUGCUUUGCUGACGAGUGGCGGACGGGUGAGUAAUGUCUGGGAAACUGCCUGAUGGAGGGGGAUAACUACUGGAAACGGUGGCUAAUACCGCAUAACGUCGCAAGACCAAAGAGGGGGACCUUCGGGCCUCUUGCCAUCAGAUGUGCCCAGAUGGGAUUAGCUGGUUGGUGAGGUAA